rnacentral:rRNA from 1 species
AUUGAACGCUGGCGGCAGGCCUAACACAUGCAAGUCGAACGAGUGGCGGACGGGUGAGUAAUGUCUUGGAAACUGCCCGAUGGAGGGGGAUAACUACUGGAAACGGUAGCUAAUACCGCAUACCAUGGGAUGUGCCCCGAUGGGAUUAGCUAGUAGGUGGGGUAACGGCUCACCUAGGCGACGAUCCCUAGCUGAUCUGAGAGGAUGACCGGCCGCACGGGAACUGAGACACGGUCCAGACUCCUGCGGGAGGCAGCAGUGGGUAAUAGUGGACAGUAGGCGCGAGCCUGAUGCAACGAUGCAGCGUGUGUGAAGAAGGCCUUGGGGUUGUAAAGUACUUUCAGCGGGGAGGCGUUACCCGCAGAAGAAGCACCGGCUAACUCCGUGCCAGCAGCCGCGGUAAUUC